rnacentral:rRNA from 1 species
UACAGAGGUCUCGAGCGUUGUUCGGAUUCAUUGGGCGUAAAGGGUGCGUAGGUGGCGUGGUAAGUCUGGUGUGAAAUCCCGGGGCUCAACCCCGAGCCUGCUUCUGAUACGGGCAGACUGGAGGUAUGCAGGGGAGAACGGAAUUCCUGGUGUAGCGGUGAAAUGCGCAGAUAUCAGGAGGAACACCGGUGGCGAAGGCGGUUCUCUGGGCAUUACCUGACGCUGAGGAGCGAAAGUGUGGGGAGCGAACAGG